UGAAAUGAAUCCAGAUAAAUCUGGUUGCGUUCGUGUGGCGCGUAGGCUGUGCUUAAUUUCAUCUAGGAGAAUUAUCGCCACCUGGAAACGCGGUCUCGAUGGUCCUUGCCCAUUCAAGCAGAGGUCCUCGACAAUGGCACAUUGUGAGGCUGCCAUCGUACUCGUAUGUAAAUGAGAAAAGAAUUAAAUAUAUAUCUACCGAACGAUAACUUUGUUUGAAUUAGCAUUGCUUGCCUCUAUAAGUGUCGCGCCGCAUCCAAGAUACGCCAGCAGCUGCACAAGUAUGUAUAUGGGUUCGCAUGCUCGUUGCGGGUGAGUUUGACGGUGGUCUCGACAUGCGAUACCCGCGAGAAGUUUUGCCAAUAGUUUCUUCGUCCUUGUCGUUCCAUUCCACGAUAUUUUUCUCCUGCCAGUUAUUUUGUAACAACGAUAGAACGUGCGUAACGUUAGGCGCGUGGCUGCACACUGAUUCGAUGCAGAAUUUUACGACGGCGGUGACGAAUCAAUUGAAAAAUGACCGUGUAUCCGCUUGUAUACUCUGUUUGCGUAGGAUGCAGACCACCCAGGUCGUCUGACGCCUCUGCCGUAUCCUCAACGGAAUUGACUUAGCGGAAUCCGGGGCGAGGGACGUAAGGACAGGGGACAACGAAAACGGAAAAGAGAGGGAGGAGAAGGAGGGGGCUAGGAAAGAGAGAGGGCCGGCUCGUAUCGAUUUACAUGGUCGUUAAAAAACGCUUACAUCGUCGUGAGGCUGUUGGACGAGGCACGAGUCGAACACAAAGAUCGAAAGGCAGUGAGAAAGAAAGAAAGAAGAAUCCUAAGGAAAGAGAGCUAAUACGACAUAAGAAAAAGAGACAGGAAAAGUGGGGAAAGAGAAGAACCACGGCGCGAAAUUUCUACUUUGCGGGUGGUGUACGUGUUAUACAGCAGAAGAAGACGAAAAUGACCGAGGAGAAAGCAUCUUAUCUGUCUCGUGCAUAAAUACAGCAACAUUAUCGUUGUAAAGUGGACACGGAACAUACUUGUUACGUUGCUGGUCCGCGGGCCACCGGCUGCAGUCUCACCGCUUCGGUGCUAAGUAAGAUGAUAUAUUGCGGUUAAACGCGGCCCCGCGGAUUCGUGUGCGUGCCUGUAUCACCGGCCAUAUAUACAUACACACGUUACACGUGGCCGUGUUUAAUAUCGAAACGGUGUUGGUGAGUGGGCCACCCACGGUGGCCUUGCUGGACCACCCAACGAGCCGCGCUAUUAUAAGGGGCCGUCUCUACUUCGCACUUUACCUCGAUCCGAUACUUCGUUGCUCCCCUUUAACCCCUUCAACGGCUCUGACACAUUACUCGAGAGCCGGGCGAAUCGAACCGGGACAACGAUUUCUUUUUCCCUCUCUUUCUCUUUUUUCUCUAUCGUCUUCUUCGUUUUUUCCACGGUGCCGCUUGUUAUCCAUUAAUCAGCCGGCUCUUUCGUGAGAUUAGGGGGAUACGUUGUAUCGCUUGUUCACUCUCUUCGAGUCCUUCAGCGGGCUACGACGCGCUGAAUAGCGUACAAUCUCGUAGACGAACCAAUGUAACACGAUCUUAGCUGACGUUUCGUCGGACGAAGAGAGAAACGAUAGGCAGGUGUGAGAAACGUUGACGAUCGAUCGGCUACACCAACGUAAUUAUCCGACGGUGAUUAAUAAACGUUGCGUUACUAUCGCUUAUUCGCUACGA
rnacentral:misc_RNA from 1 species